CAGUCGCCACGGGAAUACGUAGGGUGCGAGCGUUGUCCGGAAUUACUGGGCGUAAAGAGCUCGUAGGUGGUUUGUCGCGUUGUUCGUGAAAACUCACAGCUUAACUGUGGGCGUGCGGGCGAUACGGGCGGACUAGAGUACUGCAGGGGAGACUGGAAUUCCUGGUGUAGCGGUGGAAUGCGCAGAUAUCGGGAGGAACACCGGUGGCGAAGGCGGGUCUCCGGGCAGUAACUGACGCUGAGGAGCGAAAGCGUGGGGAGCGAACAGGAUUAGAUACCCCAGUAGUCCCUGUCUCUUAUAC
rnacentral:rRNA from 1 species